CUUCAGCGCGCCCAGCCACAGCGGACGCCCGGGAUCGCGGUCCUGCCCGUAGGUGUUCAGCAGCGCCCGCGCCUC
rnacentral:antisense_RNA from 1 species